rnacentral:rRNA from 1 species
AGAUGAGUUCUCCCUGAGACUUAAAGUCUCCUGAAGGAACGUUGAAGACGACGACGUUGAUAGGCCGGGUGUGUAAGCGCAGCGAUGCGUUGAGCUAACCGGUACUAAUGAACCGUGAGGCUUAACCCUACAACGCCGAAG